UGUGCCAAUUAAUAACCUGUUAGGCAACCUGAGCUGGACAUACCUUACCAAUAGCCUAAGGCAGACAGGCUUUAUGAUCUAUUCUAAACCAUGUGCUUGUUACCUUCUUUUCUGAAUAUCCUUUAUGUUCCUUAACCUCUUCAUAACCAAGUUAUAUUAAACUAGUUUUGCGUAUCUCACUACCAAGGAUAAUAAGGACUAUUUCAUGGUUUCCUAUUUAUAUGGGAUUGGGUAAUGGCCAUGUAAUUGGGUAGGUAUAGAUCAG